GAUGAACGCUAGCGGCAGGCUUAAUACAUGCGAGUCGAGGGGCAGCAUGAUUGUAGCAAUACAAUUGAUGGCGACCGGCAAACGGGUGCGGAACACGUACACAACCUUCCAACAAGUGGGGGAUAGCCCAGAGAAAUUUGGAUUAAUACCCCGUAACAUAGCGAUGUGGCAUCACAUUGCUAUUAUAGAUUUUUCGCUUGUUGGUGGGUGUGCGGCUGAUUAGAUAGUUGGCGGGGUAACGGCCCACCAAGUCUACGAUCAGUAGCUGAUGUGAGAGCAUGAUCAGCCACACGGGCACUGAGACACGGGCCCGACUCCUACGGGAGGCAGCAGUAAGGAAUAUUGGACAAUGGACGCAAGUCUGAUCCAGCCAUGCCGCGUGAAGGAUUAAGGUCCUCUGGAUUGUAAACUUCUUUUAUAAGGGACGAAAAAAGGCUUUUCUAAGUCGUCUGACGGUACCUUAUGAAUAAGCACCGGCUAACUCCGUGCCAGCCGCCGCCGUAACAC
rnacentral:rRNA from 1 species